AUCACUUCUCGGCCUUUUGGCUAAGAUCAUGUGUAGUAUCUGUUCUUAUCAGUUUAAUAUACUAUAUGGAAGAGUCCCUUUUCACACAUUAUAUACAUAUACUAGUAUAU
rnacentral:snRNA from 1 species